UACGUAGGGAGCAAGCGUUGUCCGGAAUCAUUGGGCGUAAAGCGCGCGUAGGUGGCUUCGUAAGUCCGUUGUGAAAGUCAAAGGCUCAACCUUUGAAAGCCGAUGGAUACUGCGGAGCUAGAGUACGGAAGGGGCGAGUGGAAUUCCUGGUGUAGCGGUGGAAUGCGCAGAUAUCAGGAGGAACACCAAUAGCGAAGGCAGCUCGCUGGGACGUUACUGACACUGAGGCGCGAAAGCGUGGGGAGCGAACAGG
rnacentral:rRNA from 1 species